AGUCUCGCAACACUGUCCACACUUCGUUUCGGUGGAUUCAGUCGAAGUGUCAUGGCGGGUUUCUGAUCCUCGUGCGUCCGCGAUCGCAUCUUUUAUCCGGUUUAUUUAUUAGUUUGUUCCGUUUGUUUCCUGCUUUAUUUAAAUAAUUUGAUUCAAAGUCCAAAUCAAUCUCGUGGAAGCAACUGAUGCCAGCAACGAUUCCUUCCGGAAUUCUCCCAGGGUGCGGCGUUUCCCAAGGAUUCCUCCAUUAACCAAUUCCCAAGUGAUGAUAUCCUGCAAACAAGAGUUCCAGUUUGUGAUUGAAAAUACCCGCCACGGAUGUGAAAAAGAAUCCGCUCUAUGGAUGUUUUUGGGAGUUUUUCGAGGAUUUUGUUCAGGGAUUACUUUGGCCGCCGGGUUGGAGGAUGCCGCAAUUUGUGUUCCGCAGGAAAUUUAUUACACCGACGGCCAGGGAGAUCUAGGUUUUGUUAUUUACCGGAAUAGAUGUUGCAGAUACAUUUGUGAUCGGUACGAAAAACAUGAACGGGCUCUGUGAAUCAUUGUACUGUUUGCUGUGGAUAUCAAAACAUCCUGGACUCAUCCUGGAGUGCCUUCAGGCUUGUUUUUUAUCUAAAAAGUGUUCACUGCGGCACCCCGGAUUCAUCAUUUGGAGCUUCCCAGCCAUUAUGCUCCAUCAUUUGAAUAUUUGUUUAAUGCAAUAAAAAUGUUAUAAAUGGUGCAAUUAAAAUAAUUGAUGAUUUAAA
rnacentral:lncRNA from 1 species